CGAGCGAGCGGAACCAACAGAUUUACUUCGGUAAUGACGUUGGGAAAGCGAGCGGCGGAUGGGUGAGUAACACGUGGGGAACCUGCCCCUAAGUCUGGGAUACCAUUUGGAAACAGGUGCUAAUACCGGAUAAUAAAGCAGAUCGCAUGAUCAGCUUUUGAAAGGCGGCGUAAGCUGUCGCUAAGGGAUGGCCCCGCGGUGCAUUAGCUAGUUGGUAAGGUAACGGCUUACCAAGGCGACGAUGCAUAGCCGAGUUGAGAGACUGAUCGGCCACAUUGGGACUGAGACACGGCCCAAACUCCUACGGGAGGCAGCAGUAGGGAAUCUUCCACAAUGGACGCAAGUCUGAUGGAGCAACGCCGCGUGAGUGAAGAAGGUUUUCGGAUCGUAAAGCUCUGUUGUUGGUGAAGAAGGAUAGAGGUAGUAACUGGCCUUUAUUUGACGGUAAUCAACCAGAAAGUCACGGCUAACUAC
rnacentral:rRNA from 1 species